rnacentral:rRNA from 1 species
UACGGAGGAUGCGAGCGUUAUCCGGAUUUAUUGGGUUUAAAGGGUGCGUAGGCGGACUGUCAAGUCAGAUGUGAAAGCCCGGGGCUCAACCCCGGGACUGCAUUUGAAACUGUCAGGCUGGAGUGCAGGAGAGGUAAGCGGAAUUCCUAGUGUAGCGGUGAAAUGCGUAGAUAUUAGGAGGAACACCAGUGGCGAAGGCGGCUUACUGGACUGUAACUGACGUUGAGGCUCGAAAGCGUGGGGAGCAAACAGG